AUUUGGGGAGUGCUGUGAUUUGGUUUAAGCACUUUUCUCCCUAAGAGCAGAUGGAAGGAUUGUUCCUGUUUGGAUCUCCUGAGUGUGCUGUACAGCUUUGAUAUAAGGUCGAGGUGGGAGCAAAAUUCCAGGGGAAAUAUGAGGUCAGUGAGGCUUUGGCUCCAGCCUGGCUCCCAGGGUGGUUUGGGUUGAAAGGGACCUUAAAGCUCAUCCAUCCCACCCCCUAACAUGGGCAGGGACAACUUCCACUGUCCCAGGCUGCUCCAAGCCUGGCCUUGGAUACUUCCAGGGACCCAGGGGCAGCCACAGUUCUCUGGACACCCUGUGCCAUGGCCUGUCCACCCUCCCAGGGAACAACUCCUUACCAAAAUCCAUCUUUAUUGCUGUCAGAGUGGCUGAGUUCCCUAUGUCCGUGUGUACAGGUGCCCCCGAGGAUUUCAGCACAGCUCCAUGGAUACAGACAUGCCAUAAAGGAGCAGGCCCUGAGUAUUUUGGGGAAGGGAGAUAAUAAUAAGCCAGUUUGGCACAGCUCUUUCCUAAGCCUGGCAAGUCAACCCUGACAAUGUAAACAGCUCUUUCGGGGUGAAAUGUUGCUUUUCAGUUUCACAAAUCUGCUGGCCGAGCUCUCUGCCAAGGCAUGGUGCGAAUGAGGUGCCCUAUAUUUCCUUGCUUGCCUGUCCUGCCCUUUUGCUGCAAAAAGGAGAUAAGUGCUAGCUCUGCAGGGCUGGCCUGCAGCCUGGGCAGCAUCGGUAGUGCUGUGCUCUGCUGUCAGAGCUGCCCUGAGCAUGGAGGUGUGGGAGCAUCUCCAGAUCCCUCCUGCAAGGAUCCUCUGGGACUUGCGCAAGUUCUGCCGGGGAGGAGGGGGAGCGGGGCAGUUUCCUUCCCGGGAUUAAUGUCAGCCCUCAGGAAUCCUCUGCCCCCUUCAGCUCUGCCUUGCACACCCCAGCUCCCGGCUCUGAAGUUUGGGAAUGCCGACUUCUACCUCCUGACCUCCCACAUGGCUCCAAUUCCAAGAAACUAUGCCCUAAAUCUGCUGGCAGUGACAGCUUGCUGAUUCCUACAGCAUGGCUCGUUAAAAGAUCUGAAUCUACUAAUAGGAAUUGGCCUGAUAAAAGGGCUGCUUUUUUUUCUUUUUUUUUUACCUCCUCACUUAGCGGCUACAUGCAGCCUGGGGAAUCUAGAAAUUAAAUUGGCUUUUUGUCAAGCCUCUUCUUUGCAGCAGCAAUGGGACCCCUGCAGUGCAGUGCAGUGUUUCCAAUUACAUUUUGGGGUAUGUCGCUAAUUUUUGGCACACAGAGAGAAGCAGGCCAGGCAAAUGGCAGGUGGCAGGCUGUUUUCAUAUUUCACCAGGAGCAUGGGGGAAGGGAGAGGGGAGAAGGAGCCGAGCUCUCUGCCAAGAAAUGUGACCUCGCAGAGUGUGAGCAGAAGAGUUUUGGCACGUGGCAGAGGAUGGAGGGCUGGGCAGGCAUGGCUGAGCCAGUUUACAUCCCCUCCUGCUGGGAACACGCACGAGGGAAGCAGGGCUAAAAUAAACACUGCUCCAGCAGCCACAGCCUCCAGGUCUGGAUCUGGGCACCUCUGGGUCGCGUGUGGCUGCAUCCAGGCCGGGCUGUCACACUCGGGACAGUGGUGUCACUGCGCUCCGCCUCUCUGCCCCCAGCACAAAACAAAACUGGCUUUGCUUCAUUCAUUUGUUCCUAGCACAGCUAAUGCAUUCAGCCUGGCACCGGCUCCGCAGGGCCUGGGUGGCUUCUCAGAGCUAUUGCACAAUCUGCAGCUUGCAGUGAGGGCAGCAACGACCAGAAGCUGCUUCCCAGGAUCUGCAUCUGUCCCUGGGUGCCUUUGCCCAUCAGAACAGAGGUCUGGAGGUGUGAAUUUUAGGGGUCAGAUCACAGAAUGGUUUGGUUGGAGGGGGACCUCAAAGCUCAUCUCGUCCCACCCCUGCCAUGGCAGGGACACCUUCUGUUAUUCCCAGGUGGCUCCAAGCCCCAGUGUCCAACCUGGCCUUGGACACUUCCAGGGAUCCAGGGGUGGCCACAGCUUCUCUGUGCACCCUGCAGGGCCACCCCACCCUCACAGGGUAGGAUUUCUUCUCAAUAUCCCAUCUAAUAUUUGCUCUCCUUCAGCUCAAACCCAUUUGCCCCCGUGCCCAGAAAUGCUGCUGUGUUUGACAAGAGCAGUCAGAGCUGGUCUGUACUCACAGGGACCAGGAGCAGAGCAUCCAUCUCAACCCGAGGGUAUGUCAGCCAGGAGAGCUUUGGGGGAAGGAGCCCUAGGACUCAGCAUGGAGGCCUCUAAACACUUAAUUUAGACAUCAAAUCCAAAAAUAAAAUGGUGAAUGCUGUGAAAGAGUGUUGUGAGAGAUCUUAUUCCAGGUCCAUCUGGAGCUGGGUUUGUACUGAAGCUUGAAGGUAUGGUUCUUGUUACAAUUGCUGAAUGUUGUUCUGAUUGCUAAAUGUUGUUCUGAUUACUGAAUUUUGUUCCACAGCAAUGAUUUCACUGGUAAAACCCCAAAGCCCCUCAUUUUGAAAAGACCGUAAGGCGAGACUGGAGACGGCAAACAAAAUUUCCAGCAGAGGAAAACCACUGAAACAGAAAUACAAGACCUGAUUGGCAGCCUGGGAGGAGAAACCUGAGGUAGCUGAGGGUCUGGACUCAUGGGAGCAUCCCAAACAAACACUCGUCAGUCCCUUGAGGUGUCUGUUACCCCAACAAGUGCCAGUCCUCGUGAAGCUGGUUCAGAACAAAGCUGCAGAGCAGGUGUUGGAAGGGUCAGGGUGCUGGUGGGAGCACAACCGGGUCAUCGAGCCCUGUGGAUAAACCCUUGACCUGUUCUGGGAUGUGCUCUUGGAUCAGGAAUCCCACUCUGGCCACAAGGCUCCGGCCAAGGAAGGAAAGGAAAAGCUGAAGUGCCUGAGGUGCAGGGAAGCAUUUUACUCUAUUCCCUGACUUUGCUUCCCCACUGCAGGCAUCACUGGAUGUGAUCCCUCUGGAGGUGCUGCCAGACCAUUGAGUGCUCCAUCCCUGCCCUCCAGACACCCUCUUCCUGGAGGAAAGUUGGCAGCUUUGGGUUUAUUCCAUCUUUUCACCCUUGCCAAAACCUAUUUAAUAUCAGCCCUGAAGCACUGAAGGCUGCAGCCAGACACAAAGCUCAUCCGUGAGGAUGAAGAGGAGAGCUUGGAGCACCCAGUGUAGCAAAGAGAUGCAUCAGCACCUGCUCCCAGCUGCAGGAGAAGGAAGGAGUGCUGGGAGUUCCCUCCCCACAAGUGCAGAGGUAAGAGGAGACAGGAUCUCAAAACCUCCAGAAAUGUGUCCCAGAUCCCCCUGUCAUCAGGUCUGUACCUAAUCAGGUUUGUACCUAAUUGUGAGGAUGACACUCCCACCCACCAUCCCUGCCAGAGUCACUGCAAGGGCUGUUCUGGAAGUUCUGUUCUGGCACGGGAUGCUUUCAAUAUAAUUUUUUCUCCUGGUGAACAUGUGAAUAUCAGAGGAAUCUCUGUUUGUUGUACCCUGGAAGCUGACAGUUCUGCUCUCCCCUUUCCAAGCUCAGCCUGUAUCAGUCCUCGGUGUGUUUGCCAGUCCAGCCUCAGCACCUUGUGCAGCAGUAGCAUGUCUGGGGAAAUUCUCUGAGAGAGGAGGGUCCCUGGUAGUGCUGAUACAAGGGGAAAGUCCGUACUUUCUGUGAGAGGAUUUUUGGGCACCAAGAAAACAGGGAGCAAGUCCAGGCUGUGGACUCUCCAUCCCUGGUAGUGUACAAGGGCAGGCUGGAUGGGGUUGGAACCACCUGGGAUAAUGGCAGGUAUCCCUCCCCAUGGCAGGGGGUGAUACAAGAUGAUGUCUUAAGAUCCUUUCCAACCUGAACUACUCCAUGAUUUUGUGAUUUUCAGUUAGUCCCAAAGGUGUCCACUGUUCCCAUAGGAAUGUGAGUUUGACCCAAAGUCAUGGCAGGAGCUGAGGAAGCAGCAGGAUGAGUUUCCUGUAGGAUUGUAUCCCUGUUGGCUUUCAACACACCCUAAACCCUAGGCACGGAGACCCUGUUAUCUGUUGUGCUGCUGCCUCCAGCUUAAUUAGGGGUUUCAAUUCUUUUUGUUUUCUAGUUUUAGCCCCCCAAACUCUUCCUGAGUUCCUUCUAGAGGGAGAUCCAGGAAAAGCAUGUUUGUCUUUGCUGUGGUGUGAGCAACCCCACCAGCCCAGAAAGUUCAGGGGGCACUGGGGGGAGCCAAAUGCCAAAACCUCUCCUCCUCCACACCAGAGCUCCUCCAAGGCAGCCGCACCUCUAGGGGAGAGGCAGGAGCAGCUGGAGCAGAGGCAAGGCCAGACGAGAUGAUGCCAUGAGGAUUAUUUCAUGUUCCUGUUGAACAGGAGCCCAGAGCAGCCCCUUCCUCCCUUGAGGGGCAGCAGCUCCAAACACUUGCGAGGCCUGGACAGCUCAGGAAGGAUGAGAUGUCCCCAAGAAAGGCCAAAGGAGACAAAACCAGGGGGUGGUGGACAUGCACAGAUUUGGCCAAGGGUAGGUGCUGCCCCAGGAUGGUUUGUUGGGAAGUUCAGGAUGGAUGUGGAGAGCAGCAUCUCACUUCCCUGCAGAGAGUUUUCCAUGUUCAAAGCAAAACCUGUUGUUUUGUUGAAGGUUUUUCUGAGGUUUUGGGGAGGGGGAUGAUUCUGAAGGAGGUUUUUUAUUUUUGAGGGAGUUUUGGCAGGGGGGGUUGAUUUAAUUUUGUGUUAGUUAGUUAGUUAGUUAGUUAGUUAGUUAGUUAAUUUGUUUCUAGGUUUUUUGGGUUUUUUUGUUUUGGGGGGGUUAGGAUUUUGUUUCAUUUUUGGGGGUUUUUUUGACAGUGGGUUUGUUUGGGGAUAUUUUUGGGGGAUUUUUUUUUUAGGUGUUGGGUUUUUAAAUUUUUUGGGGGAGGGCUGAGUUUCUUGGGGGUUUGUCUGUUUUUAAUUUUUUUUUUUUUUUUUUUUUGUUUCUUUGGAGUACUGUAUUUUGAGGGGGCUAGACUUUUGGGGUUUUUUGUGGGGAAGAAUUGGGUUUUUUUAAAUUAUUUGUUUUGUCUGGGGGAGCUUUUUGUUUGUUUGUUUAUUUUGGUUGGUUGGUUUAGGUUUGUUUCUCUCCUGGGGAAUACCAGGAUGCAGCUCUGCCCCUUCAGGGAGUGGGGUUUGGCAGGGAUGCAGGGAUGGGAUAUCUCCCCCCCGUCUCCCUGUGUCUCCAGAGGUCUCAUCCUUGCUGGAUCUUUCCCCUACUGCUCUGUGUUGGCUCCAUGUGUAAAGGGCUGGGGAGAGGAUGAUAUCAGGCAGAGGUAAUUAUUAACUCUAACUCUAACUGUGACAGUGGCCCUGCUUGGGCUGGACUGUAAAGGCCCCCAAAACCUUCCACCUUUUUUCCCUCUCCUCCCUGGAAUUCUGAUCAAGUACCCCUUUCUGUGGUCAGGAUGCCCCUCCUCCCUGCCAUCUUUAGAGUCCCAGGUGCUGUUUGAAACCCUCCAUGACCUCAUCCCUGCAUGCUCUGUCCAUGGGGGACACGGAGAGUGCUUGGCACAUGCACGGAAACCUCAGCCAGGGCAGGACGUGCCUGCUCCAUUUCAUUUCUGGCAGCAAUGGGAGAAAAGAGAGCCUCCAAAAUCUAUAAAUCAACCAUCUCUUACAUGGUGUGGGAUUAAGGAAAAGGUGCAGAAGAGAAAUUGUUUCCUCGGGGGGCAGCACAUAAUUUCAUUUGCCCAGGAAAAUGUCUCCAUCAGCUGUCUUCCAGAGACUCUAAGAAGAAUUCAAGGAGGGCUCAGAGUGUGCAAUUAUUGUGGAAUUUUGGAAUCACACACUGGUUUGGGUGGGAAGGAACCUCAAAGCCCAUCCCAUUCCACCUGCUGCCAUGGGCAGGGACACCUUCCACUAUCCCAGGUUGCUCCAAGCCCCCUCCAGCCUGGCCAGGGAUCCAGGGGCAUCAACGACCGAGUUGGCUUUUCUGGGGUCAGUGUGGGUGGAAGAAAGGUCCCAGCUCUGCACUGCCACGAAGGGAUCCUUUAUUUAUCAACAAAGCCAUGGGAUGUGAAUUUCUCUGGUGCCUUCACUGAGCGACAGCGACUCAUGGAAAUUGAGUCUGUUAGGCAGCUUUGGGCUGCAGCCAGUUCAUUACAGCAAACUUUCAUCCAAUUAUCAUUACUGUUAUUAUUGUUAUUACGAUGCCUCCUGCUCUGUUGUAAAUUGGAGGGCUUUCCUGGAGCUCUUGUUGGGCUUUUUUGAGUUGUCUCAAAACUGGAUGGCAAAUUUCUGUGAGCUCUGAAACGAGACCGACCUGGAGAUACCCAGCAGCAGGAUUUGGCCAAAUCUCCAGCGCCAUGGAGAAACAAGGAUGACCAUCUCCCUGCACCCUGGAGAUGACCCUCCCACCUGUGCCCUCCCUCACCCACUGUCAUCCCUGUUUUCUUCCAUGUCUGACUUCACUCCCAGCCCCCAUGCUUUUUCCUGUAAAACCCCAAAACUCUAAUUUGAACAGUGGGACAGGGGAAGAUGCAGCCAUCCAGCAGAGCUACAGCUGAGAUCUAAUUGCUCGUUUAAACUAAUUAAUUUACCAAACCCGAGGAAUUUUGAAAGGGUGCUUAGGAGCCUUGCCCUCCCUUCUCGCAGGCACGCAGGCAGGGGUUGGGGAGCCCCACAACCACAUUUGGUGCAGCCUCCUCCGAGGUGCUGAUGGUAAUUCCCCAGUCUGGGAGCAUCCCUUUUCCCCCCAGCUCGUGGAAAACCAGCGUGUUCAGCGCUGCAGGGCUUGGGCUCCAGGAGAGAGUAAACAUCCCCGGUGCUGACACGGCAAUAAAACCGGUGCGUCUGCAGGAGAGGAGUCAGCAGCAGAUGCGCCCCUGCAGAACUGCUCGCCGUGAUGAAUGCUCUGCCCAGAGCCUGCUAAUCCCUUUUUCUCUGGCUCCCAGGCCUCCUUAAUUGUGCUGCCUGUGAUGAAGUAACUCUUUGAAGGCAGCGCGGGGAGGUGUUUGGUCCAUGCGGGAGCGUGGCUGGCCGGGCUCGCAGCCUUGGCUCUGGGCAUGCGGAGCGUGUCUCACAAGGAUCGUGGGGACAGUGCUGCCCCUGUGCUCUGGUGACCCCAAAAAGGCCCUGGGGAGACUCCCAGGAGAGUCAGCAGGCUGGGUGGAGAUCCGCCUGGAUGAUCCCAAGACAGACAAACUCCCAGGGAAGUGCUGCUUUCCUGGUGGUGCUCCUCCCCCAGCCCCCCGGGAAGCACAUGGAUGUGGGGAGCAGAGGAGAGCCGGGCUUGGGGUGAGGUGUUCAACCUGACCAAAUCUCCCCGCGGGCUGAGGGCAGGUGGCUGCUGUUUUCCAGGCUCCAUGAGCUGCCCUCAAAUGCUUCCUGAGGGAUGCUGAAGCCUUGGUCUGCAGGAGGGAUGCAAAACCAGCCCAAGACGACUUUGAGAGUGCCCAAGGGACUUUGCCAAAAUGCAGAUUAGAAGGGAAUUUAGAAUCACGGAAUUACAGACUGGUUUGGGAUGGGAGAGGCCUUAAAGCCCAUCUCGUUCCACCCCUUGCCAUGGGCAGGGACACCUUCCACCAGACCAGGUUGCUCCAAGCCCUGUCCAACCAAGGGCAGGAUCCCAGCCCCAGGCUGACAGUCUGUCCCAUCCCUGCCCACCCUGGAGCUCAUUCCCAGGUUCCUGGAGGUGGAGGAGCAGGUCCUGUAGAUGGAGUGCAGUGAUUGCCUGAAUAUUCAUGGAUCGGCGGGCAAGCUGCAGCGGGCCCUUGUUACAAACUGCUACCCAAACUGCUUACAUCCAUCAAUAAGGGAAAUAAAUAAACAGAUGCCUGUUAAUUGACUUAAUUAUCCACCAGCAAUCAGGAGACUGGGAGCACAUCAAUUAAAAAAAUGUUUUAAGUGUCUCAUAGUAAUUCUUUUCCAUGUGCAAACCACACUGGUCUCCUCUGCCUAUAAUGAAUCCCCCCCCACCCAAGAGAAGGAAUGGAUUUUCAUUAUGCAGGAGGAGGGGUCACAUUCUGAAAAUGAGGGUUGUGGCUUGAAAUGAGCCCUAAAUUCAUGCCCUCUUCCCAAAACCAGGGCUUUAGCACAAACUCAUGCAAAUAACCGUCCUUGAGCAAGAGAAAUCCAGCAGCUAAUGUAAUCCUUGUUUUCCAGCUGGGAGCAGGCAUGAAGGAGAAGGAGGUAGGGCUGGGAAACUUUUAAAGAUUUUUCACCUUUUCUUUUGUAAAGAUCUCCAAGAAGAAGGGAAAACUGAAACUGAAGUCUUGUUUCUCUCCCUGCCAUGUGGAGGUGGGAUGACUCCGAUGUCACCUGACAGGGCUGAUGCUCAAUAUCCACAGCCGAGUGUUGAGCCAGCAGGAUGGGAUGGAUAAACAAGAAGGAUUGCCCGAGAGCCAGAGGCCUGCAGCCAAAUCCAUUACUUUUUUGUCCCAGGGUGGAUGCAGAAGGUCCUGUGCCAACCCUGGAGCAAUCACAGAGGAGUUUGGCUUGGAAGGGACCUUAAAGCUCAUUCCAUUCCCCGCCCCUGCCAUGGACAGGGUUCUACUUCCACUGGACCAGGGUUCUCCAAGGCCAGCGCUGCCACAGUGCACACACCUGGAGCCCCUCCAGCCCUGUACCUGCCCUUUUCCAGCUCUGCCAGGGCGGCUGUUUGGAAAAACCAGUGUGGGCUCCCUUGGGACUGCUGGCAGUCGUUCUGCAGGGCUGUUAUCUGCAGAUCUUGAUUAAUGAGAGUCCCCAGGGCAGGCAGGUUGUGAAAGAAGCCCCAUGAUCGUGGCCCUGGCUGCCUCCCUGACAUCAGUGUGACGCAGGGCACCCAGGGCAGCACCGGCCCGUGGGUGCAACCAAAAAGAAAAUAAAGAGUGAAGGGGUGGAGUGAGAGGCAAUAAGAGAUGAAAGGAGAUUGUCUUAUCAGCCAGAGCUGGCAGCUGGAGUGAAUUUCCUCUUCCCAGUGCAGACUCUGCAGUGUGGGUGAUGUUCUGCAUCCAGCCCUUGGCGUGGGCUCUGGGGUGGCUGCAGGAGAAGGGGGCACUGGGCAGCUGCUGCACCAGAUGUGGGGCUCCCCUUGCUCAGAUCUGACAGCUUGUGGGUUUUAAAUCCUGCAGGGAUGGUGUUAUGCCGUGAACCUUUUAUCAUAACCUCCUGAUGUCUCUGGUUGGGUUUUUACCCUCGGUGCUCACUCGCAGCCAUUGCUGAACGCAGGUGACGCUGGGGACAAGGCCUCUGAGCAACACUGCCAAGGUCUCCAAGCAGGAAGGGGGGCAGCUGGAUUUGGGAUUGACCCCUGCAUUAGGCAACACAGACAGGGAUUUACAGGCAGGCUGGGUGCUCUUGGCAGGUCGGAGUUGGAAGCUACACUGCAGUUCUUGUGGUGUCCUUCCUUCUGUGCCACGGCCCUUUGCAGCCACAGUGUCCACAGCAAGAAGGGUGGGCUGGUGCUCCCCCACCUUCAGCAAAAAAAGUUACAUCUUUUAGAUCCCUCGGUGAUGUUGGGUUCCUUUUGCUGCCCAUUUACUUGUGCCUCUUUCCAGAACUUAAAAAAAAAUCUUGAAAAAAUUAAAAACUCACCAGUUUUCAACUGUGUCGCCUUGCAGAA